GUAGGGAAUAUUGGGCAAUGGAUGAAAGUCUGACCCAGCCAUGCCGCGUGCCGGAUGAAGGCGCUCAGCGUUGUAAACGGCUUUUAUUCGGGAAGAAGAGCAGGGAUGCGUCCCUGUGUGACGGUACCGAAUGAAUAAGCACCGGCUAACUCCGUGCCAGCAGCCGCGGUAAUACGGAGGGUGCGAGCGUUGUCCGGAUUUAUUGGGUUUAAAGGGUGCGUAGGUGGCCAAAUAAGUCAGUGGUGAAAUACGGUUGCUCAACAAUCGAGGUGCAAUUGAUACUGCUUGGCUUGAAAUAAUUGGAGGCUGCCGGAAUGGAUGGUGUAGCGGUGAAAUGCAUAGAUAUCAUCCAGAACACCGAUUGCGAAGGCAGGUGGCUACGAUUUAUUUGACACUGAGGCACGAAAGCAUGGGGAGCAAACAGGAUUAGAAACCCGAGUAGUCC
rnacentral:rRNA from 1 species